UCAACAACUGGGUCACUAGCAGACCGAGCUCGUCCAGGAAAACGGCUUCUGGCCGAACAAGACGCGAGUAAAAGCUGCCAGGAGGCCGACGACGGCGGCGAUCUACCCGACCGGCCGCUUGCCUCGGAGCUUCAUCCUGAGCAAAUCCAUCCGCCAAGCCUUCAAGCUCUGACGCCUCAGGAAAUAAAACUGCUUGGAUCCAAA